GACCCCGCAGCGUCGUGGCUAGAGUAGGGUCUGGAGAGAGCUCCCACUGUGGCGAGUCCUGUCGUUGGAUUCCCGCGGCGCCCCGUAAGGCUCCGCCCCGGCGGUGCUACCAAACCCUGUUCGAUUUUAGAAUCGUACAUUCCCAGAGGGAAUCCUAGACCCCUCAUUUUACAGUUGAGGAAACAGGCCCAAGUAGCAUGACUUGUUCGCGCCGCUAGUCGAAGGAGCAGCAGCCCCGAUCCCUUGACUCUGGGGCACUGCUUUCCCUUUAGCUCAUUUUUGGAGGAAAUGGGUGCGCCCUUGCUCGACCUUUGGUGAUUGCCGCCACAGGCCUUCCCGCCGGCUAACUCAGCGUGCCCAAGUCCCGUGACUUAGUGCCAGGACGGUGCUGUGACCCGUUAUCCCCUGUCGGGUUUUACCUCCCCCCGGGAGAGCUCAGCCCUGGAUCCCGGCGGGCGGCGGAGCCUCUCUGGAGCCCGGACGGGACAGCCCACCAGGGUCUGCUUCUGUGAGGGGCCGAGGCGUCAUUCCGCGAAGGAAGCUGCUGGAAGGUACACAUCUUGGGAGUUUGCCCUUUGAAGCUCACCUGUGGACCUUUUUUCCUUUCGAAAAGAAGCAUAAGCUGCAAUAAAAAUUUGGUUUCAAGAUAACAAAGUCAGUCCCCAAAAAUCAGUAUUGAGAGUCACUGACAUUAAAUGAUGAAGAUACGAGGAUGGUGUGGGGACCUUUACUCUUCGAAGAUGAGCUAUACAUGCCCCUGAAAAGGCUGUCUGAAGACAGGGGAAGGCUGGAGAUGGCAACUUUGGCCUCUGCCAAGUACUCGUGCUAUUUUCUGUAUGUGAUACUAUCUGUUUUGUAACUCAGAGGCAACACCACAUACCUAGCAUAAGGCUUGAACUCCCUUUGGGGUUAUCAAUUACUUACAUAGCCUUCCUCUAAGGGAAGGCUUGCAAGUGGUUCAUAUUCGACCCUUCCAUGUGAUAAGCAUUCAUGUGGGCUUCACAAUGUAACAGAGGUACACAGAGAUUCUUGUAAACAGAAAAUUUUAUAAAACUGUUAACUGA
rnacentral:lncRNA from 1 species